rnacentral:rRNA from 1 species
AAUGAACGCUGGCGGCGUGCUUAACACAUGCAAGUUGAGCGGUAAGGCCCCUUCGGGGGUACACGAGCAGCGAACGGGUGAGUAACGCGUGGGUAAUCUACCCAAAGGUGGAGGAUAGCCUCGGGAAACCGGGGGUAAUACUGCAUAUGUCCCGACUGACACAAGUCUAUCGGGGGAAAGGCGGGGAUCUUCGGACCUGUCGCCUUUGGAUGAGCCCGCGUCCGAUUAGCUAGUUGGUGAGGUAAUGGCUCACCAAGGCAUCGAUCGGUAGCCGGCCUGAGAGGGUGAACGGCCACAUUGGGACUGAGACACGGCCCAGACUCCUACGGGAGGCAGCAGUGGGGAAUUUUGGGCAAUGGGCGAAAGCCUGACCCAGCGACGCCGCGUGGAGGAUGAAGGCCUUCGGGUUGUAAACUCCUGUCAGGUGGGAAGAAGUGCUUCACGGAUAAUACUCGUGAAGAAUUGACGGUACCACCAAAGGAAGCCCCGGCUAACUCCGUG